rnacentral:rRNA from 1 species
AGAGUUUGAUCCUGGCUCAGGAUGAACGCUGGCGGCGUGCUUAAUACGUGCAAGUCGAACGAACCGAGCCUAGCCGGAAGCUUGUCGAGAGCAAGGAAGGGGAGAAAUCUCUAGAGCUGCUUGAAGCGAGGGGAAAGCUAAUAUCGGUUAGUGGCGAACGGGUGAGUAACACGUGGGUGACCUGCCCUGAAGUGGGGAAUAACUGUCCGAAAGGAUGGCUAAUACCGCAUACGGUCCGGCUUUCGGUAGCCGGAUCAAAGGCGAAAGCCGCUUUGGGAGGGGCCCGCGGCCGAUUAGCUAGUUGGUGGGGUAAAGGCCUACCAAGGCUGAGAUCGGUAGCUGGUCUGAGAGGAUGAUCAGCCACAUUGGCUCUGAGACACGGGCCAAACUCCUACGGGAGGCAGCAGUAAGGAAUAUUGUACAAUGGGGGAAACCCUGAUCCAGCAAUGCCGCGUGGGCGACGAAGGUCUUCGGAUCGUAAAGCCCUUUUCUGGGGGAAGAGCAAGGACGGUACCCCAGGAAUAAGUCUCGGCUAACUACGUGCCAGCAGCCGCGGUAAAACGUAGGAGGCUAGCGUUAUCCGGAUUUACUGGGCGUAAAGCGCGUGCAGGCGGUGGUGCAAGUUGGGCGUAAAAUCUCCUGGCUUAACUGGGAGGCGCCGUCCAAUACUGCAUCACUUGAGGGCAGGAGAGGGAAGUAGAAUUCCCGGUGUAGCGGUAAUAUGCGCAGAUAUCGGGAGGAAUACCAGUGGCGAAGGCGGCUUCCUGGCCUGUUCCUGACGCUAAGACGCGAAAGCUAGGGGAGCGAACGGGAUUAGAUACCCCGGUAGUCCUAGCUGUAAACGAUGGAUACUAGGUGUUGGGGGUAUUGACCCCCCCAGUGCCGAAGCUAACGCGUUAAGUAUCCCGCCUGGGGAGUACGACCGCAAGGUUAAAACUCAAAGGAAUUGACGGGGGUCGCA